rnacentral:lncRNA from 1 species
UUUCUCUUAACAAUCAAAAUUAGCGAACAGGUGACUUGCUGCUACUCACUGUAAUGACACGUGUCCUAAACUUCCCUCCAAAUGUGCUGGGUCCUCCUAUUCUGCUUGGUCCCCAAGCAACAAAAGCCUCACACGCUCUAAUGCCCGCCGUGUCCUACACGCUUCAACUGCAUUGGAUGCUUGUCCUCAAGAUAUUUGAUUGGCUGUUGGAGGUAUAUACUGCAGAAUUUAAAUUUA